rnacentral:rRNA from 1 species
CGACCUACGGGAGGCAGCAGUGGGGGAUAUUGCACAAUGGGGGAAACCCUGAUGCAGCGACGCCGCGUGUGGGAAGACGGUCUUCUGGAUUGUAAACCACUGUCCCCAGGGACGAAGAUGACGGUACCUGGGGAGGAAGCUCCGGCUAACUACGUGCCAGCAGCCGCGGUAAUACGUAGGGAGCAAGCGUUGUCCGGAAUUACUGGGUGUAAAGGGAGCGUAGGCGGGGAUGCAAGUUGGGUGUCAAAACUACCGGCUCAACCGAUAGUCGCACUCAAAACUGCAUCUCUUGAUUGAAGAAAAGG